GCAACAGCUCAAAUUUGAAAUCUGGCAGUAUUGCGAUUGUCCGAGUUGUAAUUUGUAGAGGAUGCUUUUAUGGAUUUGGCGCUAUGGAGUUCCCUGGAACGGGACGCCAUAGAGGGUGAGAGCCCCGUAUCAUAGUGCCAAUUUCAAGUAUAUAGCUCCUUCGACGAGUCGAGUAGUUUGGGAAUGCUGCUCAAAAUGGGAGGUAAAUUUCUUCUAAAGCUAAAUAUUGGCCAGAGACCGAUAGCGCACAA
rnacentral:rRNA from 1 species